CCUACGGGAGGCAGCAGUGGGGAAUAUUGCACAAUGGGGGAAACCCUGAUGCAGCAACGCCGCGUGGGUGAAGAAGUAUUUCGGUAUGUAAAGCCCUAUCAGCAGGGAAGAGAAUGACGGUAACUGACUAAGAAGCCCCGGCUAACUACGUGCCAGCAGCCGCGGUAAUACGUAGGGGGCAAGCGUUAGCCGGAUUUACUGGGUGGAAAGGGAGCGUAGACGGUUGUGCAAGUCUGAAGUGAAAGCCCGCGGCGCAACUGCGGAACGGCUUUGGAAACUGUGUAACUGGAGUGCUGGAGAGGUAAGCGGAAUUCCUGGUGUAGCGGUGAAAUGCGUAGAGAUCAGGAGGAACACCGGCGGCGAAGGCGGCUUACUGGACAGUAACUGACGUUGAGGCUCGAAAGCGUGGGGAGCAAACAGGAUUAGAUACCCCUGUAGUC
rnacentral:rRNA from 1 species